AAACCUUUUCCGAAUCAUUUCCCUGCUGUUUCUGCUUCACAUUGGACAGUCACUGGAUUUUAGAGAUUAUAGGAAUGUUGAAAGCUUGGUGAAUAACUUGCAGAAAGCAGAAGAAUUAGUCACAUACCUUAGAGAAGUACAAAGUGGUACUGAAUUUAUCUUAAUUCUUUUGGAUGAAGCAAAGUUUGUAGCAAACAAGAAGCAUCUUGAACUAUUCCAGCCAUAUCUUCAAGAAGCUGUAGAUGAAGCACACAAACAAAAGGUCAAAAUGUCAUCUUUUACAAUGGGCAUGCAACGGAUUUGCAAUUUGAUCAUGAACACUGAAUGUUACCUUAAAGAAACGAAAAAGUCAAUAUUUACUCAUCAAUCGAAGACAAGGUUAAUUGAAGCCAUAGAGCAACUCCAUGGAUUAUGUGUGAGUUACGUAGCGUUGCAGAAAGACACCUUCAAUGGAAAAACAAAGGAGACUGAAACAAAACUGACAUGGACGUUGAAUAUUCUUACAUUACGGAAGAAGAUUCUCUUUCUUUAUGAAAUUAAACCAGUCGUGAUACUUUGCAUUUUAGCCCUUUGUUGGAUGUGUUCCCGCAUCUGUUCUUGUAUAUUUUCAUACCUAUAAAUUGUUUCAUCAUGAACAUAUAUUUUGUAUCUGCAGUAAAGUUUAACUCUUUCUGAACUUUGCAUGAUUUAGGAUUUAGGAGAAGGUUGUGUUUGUGUCUGUUGAACCAUUUUUAUGUUCAUAUACCUUUAAUCACUGAAGAAUCAUUGUCACGACCUUCUAUUUCCACCCAGAGUGUGGGUGGAAAUAGGUGGCUUGAU